rnacentral:rRNA from 1 species
AUGAUCAGCCACACUGGGACUGAGACACGGCCCAGACUCCUACGGGAGGCAGCAGUGGGGAAUCUUGCGCAAUGGGCGAAAGCCUGACGCAGCCAUGCCGCGUGAAUGAUGAAGGUCUUAGGAUUGUAAAAUUCUUUCACCGGGGACGAUAAUGACGGUACCCGGAGAAGAAGCCCCGGCUAACUUCGUGCCAGCAGCCGCGGUAAUACGAAGGGGGCUAGCGUUGCUCGGAAUUACUGGGCGUAAAGGGAGCGUAGGCGGACUGUUUAGUCAGAGGUGAAAGCCCAGGGCUCAACCUUGGAAUUGCCUUUGAUACUGGCAGUCUUGAGUACGGAAGAGGUAUGUGGAACUCCGAGUGUAGAGGUGAAAUUCGUAGAUAUUCGGAAGAACACCAGUGGCGAAGGCGACAUACUGGUCCGUUACUGACGCUGAGGCUCGAAAGCGUGGGGAGCAAACAGGAUUAGAU